rnacentral:rRNA from 1 species
UGAGGAAUAUUGCGCAAUGGGGGCAACCCUGACGCAGCAACGCCGCGUGAGUGAGGAAGGUUUUCGGACCGUAAAGCUCUGUCGAGCGGGAAGAAAUGUAUCGUGGCUAAUAUCCAUGAUAUUUGACGGUACCGCUAAAGGAAGCACCGGCUAACUCCGUGCCAGCAGCCGCGGUAAUACGGGGGGUGCGAGCGUUGUUCGGAAUUAUUGGGCGUAAAGAGCGUGUAGGCGGCUGAAUAAGUCAGAUGUGAAAUCCCUGGGCUUAACCCAGGACGUGCAUCUGAAACUGUUCAGCUUGAGUAAGGGAGAGGAAAGUGGAAUUCCUGGUGUAGAGGUGAAAUUCGUAGAUAUCAGGAGGAACACCGGUGGCGAAGGCGACUUUCUGGCCCUAUACUGACGCUGAGACGCGAGAGCGUGGGUAGCAAACA